ensembl:lncRNA
AGGCUCUAGUAAAAUCGAAUUCUGAUUCGUCUUUUCAGAAACCCAAGAAACAAGAGAAUUCAAACACAGGACAGCUUUAAAAAUUGUCCAAAGACAAAGAGAGUGACUUCUGCAACAUUUGUCCAUCUGAGCGCAAUGAUGGGUCUGGGCAUGUGUAUUUGAGAGAAGAGUCUGGAAAAAAAGCUGUGUAAUAGAAGGAGGAGAAUUGGGAGUUCCCAUGGCAAGGCUGAAGCAAAGAGAAUGGCUAACGCCAACUCAAACUAUUUCUGAAAAGCCUUCCCGGGGACAAAGUGGAGGUGUGGGUAGGGCUCCUCGGCCGGGCUCUCAGAGGCAGGUGAGAUGCAAGAUAAAGCAAUCGCUUUGCAGCCACCUUUGACGUAAGGUUUGAUAUUCUCAAGAUCACUAAGAGCAGAGGUUGGCAAACCAUGGCCAUUGGACCAAAUCAGCUCACUGUCUGUUUCUGUAAAUAAAGUUUUAUUGGAACACA